GACGAACGCUGGCGGCGUGCUUAACACAUGCAAGUCGAGCGGUAAGGCCCUUUCGGGGGUACACGAGCGGCGAACGGGUGAGUAACACGUGGGUGACCUGCCCCCUACUCUGGGAUAAGCCUGGGAAACUGGGUCUAAUACCGGAUAUGACCUGCGAUUGCAUGAUUGUGGGUGGAAAGUUUUUCGGUGGGGGAUGGGCCCGCGGCCUAUCAGCUUGUUGGUGGGGUGAUGGCCUACCAAGGCGACGACGGGUAGCCGGCCUGAGAGGGCGACCGGCCACACUGGGACUGAGACACGGCCCAGACUCCUACGGGAGGCAGCAGUGGGGAAUAUUGCGCAAUGGGCGGAAGCCUGACGCAGCGACGCCGCGUGGGGGAUGACGGCCUUCGGGUUGUAAACCUCUUUCGACUUCGACGAAGCCUUCGGGUGACGGUAGGGGUGGAAGAAGCACCGGCCAACUACGUGCCAGCAGCCGCAGUAAAAC
rnacentral:rRNA from 1 species